rnacentral:lncRNA from 1 species
AUGAGUGAGCCUAGCCAAGGUGAAAAGAACUACCCAGCUGAAAUCCCAGCCAAAAUGGCAGACCUACAGAAUCGUCCAAGCACAGAUCCUAAUGGGAUAAAGGAAAAGUCUUUUCUCCCCUACACAACUUCUUUUGUUUUUCUCCACUGCCAAUCCCAGCCUGCAUUUGAUUCCCAAGGUAUAGUGUCUCCAACAUCACUCUUCAGUCCUAGUGUACGGAGUAUAAAGAAGAAAGGGGAGCAUGUCAGUCAAAAAAAAAAAAAAAAAAAAAAACAAAGAAAAAUGGAAGCAGCACAAUGUUGACUUAGAACUGACUGACUGGAUUUGAAAGCAGUGUUUGAGAUAAAAGUUCAUG